rnacentral:lncRNA from 1 species
UUUGAAGGAAUUUUUUAAGUAGAGUUUUAUUUUAAUUGAAUAAGUCAUUGUUGGGACAAGUGAAUUCUUUGUGACACUCUUGUGCUCUGGACUUAACAUCUAAAUUUCUUAUGCAUUUAAUAAUUUAUCUUAGGUAAACUAUUGUUUACAUUACCUUUUAUCUUAGGUAAUGAAUUCAUUUAUUAGCAAGAAUGAUCAAUUUUAGAAACUCGGUGACAAAAGGGACAGUUAUUGGGCACAUGGGGAUAAAAGGUGCCUUGCAAUCUACUAGAGGAUUUAGAGGAAGUCCUGUCCCAUAUAUUUAGGGAUCAAAUGGUCCAUGCUACCAUACUGUCAGGAGGCCCUGGGUCCAUAUGAAUGAACUUGCCUUGAAAGUGACUUGCUCCCCCAAGCUGAUAAAUUACAUAUAAAUAUCUGAACGUUGGCUAGGCAUAUCAAAGUUCUGGAAUAGCAGAGCACAAUAGACCCAAUAGAUAUUUUGAAUAAUACUUAGUAUAAGCUCCCCCCCCCCAUAUGAAACUCUAUAUAUGUAUACUUUUAUAUACACACACACAUACUUUUCAGCAAACUCUGAGCAUGAUCUAGCUAUUUGUUUGAAUGGUGAUAAAGGUGAGGCCACUUCUUGAGUCAGAAUAGGGUAUGUGUAUCAGAUACGAGGAAAUGGGAUUGUUUGUAACACUACCUAUUCAGGGGUAGAGGAGAGAGAGACUAUGCUUGGAUGCUUUCG